rnacentral:rRNA from 1 species
UUAAGCGACUAAGCGUACACGGUGGAUGCCCUGGCAGUCAGAGGCGAUGAAGGACGUGCUAAUCUGCGAAAAGCGUCGGUAAGGUGAUAUGAACCGUUAUAACCGGCGAUGUCCGAAUGGGGAAACCCAGUGUGAUUCGUCACACUAUCGUUAACUGAAUACAUAGGUUAACGAGGCGAACCGGGGGAACUGAAACAUCUAAGUACCCCGAGGAAAAGAAAUCAACCGAGAUUCCCCCAGUAGCGGCGAGCGAACGGGGAGCAGCCCAGAGUCUGAAUCAGCUUGUGUGUUAGUGGAACGGUCUGGAAAGUCCGACGGUACAGGGUGAUAGUCCCGUACACCAAAAUGCACAGGUUGUGAACUCGAAGAGUAGGGCGGGACACGUGGUAUCCUGUCUGAAUAUGGGGGGACCAUCCUCCAAGGCUAAAUACUCCUGACUGACCGAUAGUGAACCAGUACCGUGAGGGAAAGGCGAAAAGAACCCCGGCGAGGGGAGUGAAAAAGAACCUGAAACCGUGUACGUACAAGCAGUGGGAGCACCUUCGGGUGUGACUGCGUACCUUUUGUAUAAUGGGUCAGCGACUUAUAUUCUGUAGCAAGGUUAACCGUAUAGGGGAGCCGCAGGGAAACCGAGUCUUAACUGGGCGUUAAGUUGCAGGGUAUAGACCCGAAACCCGGUGAUCUAGCCAUGGGCAGGUUGAAGGUUGGGUAACACUAACUGGAGGACCGAACCGACUAAUGUUGAAAAAUUAGCGGAUGACUUGUGGCUGGGGGUGAAAGGCCAAUCAAACCGGGAGAUAGCUGGUUCUCCCCGAAAGCUAUUUAGGUAGCGCCUCGUGAACUCAUCUUCGGGGGUAGAGCACUGUUUCGGCUAGGGGGUCAUCCCGACUUACCAACCCGAUGCAAACUACGAAUACCGAAGAAUGUUAUCACGGGAGACACACGGCGGGUGCUAACGUCCGUCGUGAAGAGGGAAACAACCCAGACCGCCAGCUAAGGUCCCAAAGUCAUGGUUAAGUGGGAAACGAUGUGGGAAGGCACAGACAGCCAGGAUGUUGGCUUAGAAGCAGCCAUCAUUUAAAGAAAGCGUAAUAGCUCACUGGUCGAGUCGGCCUGCGCGGAAGAUGUAACGGGGCUAAACCAUGCACCGAAGCUGCGGCAGCGACACUAUGUGUUGUUGGGUAGGGGAGCGUUCUGUAAGCCUGCGAAGGUGACCUGUGAGGGUUGCUGGAGGUAUCAGAAGUGCGAAUGCUGACAUAAGUAACGAUAAAGCGGGUGAAAAGCCCGCUCGCCGGAAGACCAAGGGUUCCUGUCCAACGUUAAUCGGGGCAGGGUGAGUCGACCCCUAAGGCGAGGCCGAAAGGCGUAGUCGAUGGGAAACAGGUUAAUAUUCCUGUACUUGGUGUUACUGCGAAGGGGGGACGGAGAAGGCUAUGUUAGCCGGGCGACGGUUGUCCCGGUUUAAGCAUGUAGGCUGGUUGUCCAGGCAAAUCCGGAUAANNUGGAGCUGAGACCAGUCGAAGAUACCAGCUGGCUGCAACUGUUUAUUAAAAACACAGCACUGUGCAAACACGAAAGUGGACGUAUACGGUGUGACGCCUGCCCGGUGCCGGAAGGUUAAUUGAUGGGGUUAUCCGUAAGGAGAAGCUCUUGAUCGAAGCCCCGGUAAACGGCGGCCGUAACUAUAACGGUCCUAAGGUAGCGAAAUUCCUUGUCGGGUAAGUUCCGACCUGCACGAAUGGCGUAAUGAUGGCCAGGCUGUCUCCACCCGAGACUCAGUGAAAUUGAACUCGCUGUGAAGAUGCAGUGUACCCGCGGCAAGACGGAAAGACCCCGUGAACCUUUACUAUAGCUUGACACUGAACAUUGAGCCUUGAUGUGUAGGAUAGGUGGGAGGCUUUGAAGCGUGGACGCCAGUCUGCGUGGAGCCAACCUUGAAAUACCACCCUUUAAUGUUUGAUGUUCUAACGUUGGCCCCUNACCGGGGUUGCGGACAGUGUCUGGUGGGUAGUUUGACUGGGGCGGUCUCCUCCCAAAGCGUAACGGAGGAGCACGAAGGUUAGCUAAUCCUGGUCGGACAUCAGGAGGUUAGUGCAAUGGCAUAAGCUAGCUUGACUGCGAGCGUGACGGCGCGAGCAGGUGCGAAAGCAGGUCAUAGUGAUCCGGUGGUUCUGAAUGGAAGGGCCAUCGCUCAACGGAUAAAAGGUACUCCGGGGAUAACAGGCUGAUACCGCCCAAGAGUUCAUAUCGACGGCGGUGUUUGGCACCUCGAUGUCGGCUCAUCACAUCCUGGGGCUGAAGUAGGUCCCAAGGGUAUGGCUGUUCGCCAUUUAAAGUGGUACGCGAGCUGGGUUUAGAACGUCGUGAGACAGUUCGGUCCCUAUCUGCCGUGGGCGCUGGAGAAUUGAGGGGGGCUGCUCCUAGUACGAGAGGACCGGAGUGGACGCAUCACUGGUGUUCGGGUUGUCAUGCCAAUGGCACUGCCCGGUAGCUAAAUGCGGAAGAGAUAAGUGCUGAAAGCAUCUAAGCACGAAACUUGCCCCGAGAUGAGUUCUCCCUGAGACUUUAAGUCUCCUGAAGGAACGUUGAAGACGACGACGUUGAUAGGCCGGGUGUGUAAGCGCAGCGAUGCGUUGAGCUAACCGGUACUAAUGAACCGUGAGGCUUAACCUU